GCCACAUCUGAACCGACUGGUUUGUCAUGAAUGGCCGUGGGGAAUAAGAGCUAAUGCUGUGGCUUGGGAAUCUUCCCAUAAAAACACACACUCCUUUGACUCCAUGACAGCCAACACCACUGCUUGGACCUGCUCUGUUUUAUACUUCGACAGGUUGCAGGGGCUCCCUGCUGGGUUUAUAAACAGUCAUGUCUGGUCUGCUGCCAUCCAUUGCUCCCAUAGCUACCUGUGAUUGAAGAGUAUUGGCAAAGGAAGAGAAAGUAGAAUCCCAACUCUAUAAGACAGGAAUCCAUCAGCCGCACCACAUCAGGGACGGAACUACAAGCUGCACUCACAAAUGCUUAUAUCAGAUGUUAUAAAUUUCCCAUGUGGACCUUA